rnacentral:rRNA from 1 species
GGGUUGUGAGGUUAAGCGACUAAGCGUACACGGUGGAUGCCCUGGCAGUCAGAGGCGAUGAAGGACGUGCUAAUCUGCGAUAAGCGUCGGUGAGGUGAUAUGAACCGUUAUAACCGGCGAUUUCCGAAUGGGGAAACCCAGUGUGUUUCGACACACUAUCAUUAACUGAAUCCAUAGGUUAAUGAGGCGAACCGGGGGAACUGAAACAUCUAAGUACCCCGAGGAAAAGAAAUCAACCGAGAUUCCCCCAGUAGCGGCGAGCGAACGGGGAGGAGCCCAGAGCCUGAAUCAGUGUGUGUGUUAGUGGAAGCGUCUGGAAAGGCGCGCGAUACAGGGUGACAGCCCCGUACACAAAAAUGCACAUAUUGUGAGCUCGAUGAGUAGGGCGGGACACGUGGUAUCCUGUCUGAAUAUGGGGGGACCAUCCUCCAAGGCUAAAUACUCCUGACUGACCGAUAGUGAACCAGUACCGUGAGGGAAAGGCGAAAAGAACCCCGGCGAGGGGAGUGAAAAAGAACCUGAAACCGUGUACGUACAAGCAGUGGGAGCCUCUUAAUGGGGUGACUGCGUACCUUUUGUAUAAUGGGUCAGCGACUUAUAUUCUGUAGCAAGGUUAACCGAAUAGGGGAGCCGAAGGGAAACCGAGUCUUAACUGGGCGUUAAGUUGCAGGGUAUAGACCCGAAACCCGGUGAUCUAGCCAUGGGCAGGUUGAAGGUUGGGUAACACUAACUGGAGGACCGAACCGACUAAUGUUGAAAAAUUAGCGGAUGACUUGUGGCUGGGGGUGAAAGGCCAAUCAAACCGGGAGAUAGCUGGUUCUCCCCGAAAGCUAUUUAGGUAGCGCCUCGUGAAUUCAUCUCCGGGGGUAGAGCACUGUUUCGGCAAGGGGGUCAUCCCGACUUACCAACCCGAUGCAAACUGCGAAUACCGGAGAAUGUUAUCACGGGAGACACACGGCGGGUGCUAACGUCCGUCGUGAAGAGGGAAACAACCCAGACCGCCAGCUAAGGUCCCAAAGUCAUGGUUAAGUGGGAAACGAUGUGGGAAGGCCCAGACAGCCAGGAUGUUGGCUUAGAAGCAGCCAUCAUUUAAAGAAAGCGUAAUAGCUCACUGGUCGAGUCGGCCUGCGCGGAAGAUGUAACGGGGCUAAACCAUGCACCGAAGCUGCGGCAGCGACACUAUGUGUUGUUGGGUAGGGGAGC